rnacentral:rRNA from 1 species
AUUGAACGCUGGCGGCAGGCUUAACACAUGCAAGUCGAGCGGAGACUUCGGUCUUAGCGGCGAACGGGUGAGUAAUACCUAGGAAUCUGCCUAUUAGUGGGGGAUAACGAAUCGAAAGGUUCGCUAAUACCGCAUACGUCCUACGGGAGAAAGGGGGGGAUCUUCGGACCUCUCGCUAAUAGAUGAGCCUAGGCCGGAUUAGCUAGUUGGUAGGGUAAAGGCCUACCAAGGCGACGAUCUGUAGCUGGUCUGAGAGGAUGGCCAGCCACACUGGAACUGAGACACGGUCCAGACUCCUACGGGAGGCAGCAGUGGGGAAUAUUGGACAAUGGGGGCAACCCUGAUCCAGCCAUGCCGCGUGUGUGAAGAAGGCCUUCGGUUGUAAGACACUUAAGUACGUAGGAGGAAGGUUUUAAGGUUUUAAGUU